AGCAGCUGAGCAGGUAAUUACUCUGUCUCGAUUUGUUUUGAACGCAUAAUAUAAUCUAUACAUCAGAACCUAGCAAGCUUAAGGAAAACAGUCAAAUUCGCAGUAAUUACAUAGAUAAGUCCAUACUUUUGUGAAAUCUGUAGCAAAAAUAGAAUAAAAAAUAUUAGAUCUGUCAUGUGAUGUUCUAACAAUUACACAUCUUUCCCUUAUUAAGUGCCCAUUUUUCCACAAGAUGCUCACCUGCAUGGCUACAGGAAAAUCAUCCUAAAAAUCUAACAAUAAUGUUGAUGCCAUUGACGAGAAAUUUUCACUAAGGUGUGGUCACAGUCAUGGCUAUCAUGUAGGUGUUUAGCUGCUGCUGCAUUAAGUCUAGAUUUUAAGAAUCCUAAUGUCUAAUCAUUUCGAUAGAAAAGGAACCACAAGUCUUAAAACACCUUACUAUGUUGCUUAGUUAGUAUACCGUAAUAUAUGUGUCGAUAGGAGUUAGGAUAUAAUUUUGUGAGAUUUCUGAUAAUCUUUUGAGUUGCCAAUAUGCAAUUUGAUUGCUUUGUUUACAAUAAGUGGUAUAUAAGUUAUGCUAUGUUUCUUCCAUGAAUCCUGUGCCAUCGAUUAUACUAGCAAAGAACUUUCUAACAACUAUAGAUAUUACUUCAACUAUUAUUGGUUUCAUUUCAUACAAUUUUGGCAAUACCAGCAAUUAAUUACUGAAGUUAUUUAUGGUUCCAUGGCACUAAAUAAGUGUCAUAGAAUUUUAGUUUGCAUAACUUCAGUUGUUUAAAAUUGGGAACCCAUUGACCAUGCAGAUUUUUUGUAAACCAACUUGACUCCCCUGCAUUGCUAUCCCACUAAAUAAUUAUGGUACUCGAAAAGUUAAUGUCAAAUCUAGGAACUAAAAUCACACUAUCUCUUAAUCUCCUAACAACUUUAAGAAUAAAGGACUCCAAAACUCCAUCUUUUACCUGACAAAGGAAGUAGGGAAGGAGAAAAGGCUGGACAAAAUGGUGAUCCGGGUUGUUUUUUACUUUACCAUCAACGUUUAUCAAUUACUCCAUUCCAAAUUAUAAGACGCCUUGAAAUAGAAUGCUUCAAGUUAAAGUUAGCUAUUGUUUGCAUGCUUCUUUAUUUAUAUUUUAUUGUCCAAUUUCCCUGACUAUUGGGUUAAUUUCUGUCUCAAUCUGUUAAUUUUUUUCUUCUGUUUUGUGACAGUUGGAUAUAUUCAAGGAAAUGGUAUCUUUGCGUGUAUUUGAGAGGUACAUGAUAAGUGUAAUGGUUUCACGUUGUCUGCAGAUUUUGUUUGGAUAUUCACUAGAUGAGUAAUUUCACCAUGGUUUAAUUCUAACAGUUGCUCUUAUUACAUCCAAGACUGCCAAGUUCUACUGUAAUAUUGUCUUGUGUCCUAUCAAAGCAAAGAAAU
rnacentral:lncRNA from 1 species